rnacentral:rRNA from 1 species
GACGAACACUGGCGGCGUGCUUAACACAUGCAAGUCGAACGGAAAGGCCCUGCUUUUGUGGGGUGCUCGAGUGGCGAACGGGUGAGUAACACGUGAGUAACCUGCCCUUGACUUUGGGAUAACUUCAGGAAACUGGGGCUAAUACCGGAUAGGAGCUCCUGCUGCAUGGUGGGGGUUGGAAAGUUUCGGCGGUUGGGGAUGGACUCGCGGCUUAUCAGCUUGUUGGUGGGGUAGUGGCUUACCAAGGCUUUGACGGGUAGCCGGCCUGAGAGGGUGACCGGCCACAUUGGGACUGAGAUACGGCCCAGACUCCUACGGGAGGCAGCAGUGGGGAAUAUUGCACAAUGGGCGGAAGCCUGAUGCAGCAACGCCGCGUGCGGGAUGACGGCCUUCGGGUUGUAAACCGCUUUCGCCUGUGAUGAAGCGUGAGUGACGGUAAUGGGUAAAGAAGCACCGGCUAACUACGUG